GGCCAGAUAAAACGUCAGAUCGCC
rnacentral:siRNA from 1 species